GCAAGGGGCUUNGGCCCCCCUGAGUGGCGGACGGGUGAGUAACACGUGGACAAUCUGCCCCCCGGACGGGGAUAGCCCAUGGAAACAUGGGGGAAUACCGGAUACGACCGCGGGUGCACAAGCACCCGUGAGGAAAGGCGCCAAGGCGCCGUCGGGGGAUGAGUCCGCGGUCCAUUAGCUAGUUGGCGGGGUAACGGCCCACCAAGGCGACGAUGGAUAGCCGGCCUGAAAGGGCGACCGGCCACAUUGGGACUGANACACGGCCCAAACUCCUACGGGAGGCAGCAGCUAAGAAUCUUCCGCAAUGGACGAAAGUCUGACGGAGCGACGCCCCGUGAACGAUGAAGGCCCUGAGGUUGUAAAGUUCUUUUCCAGGGGAGGAAUAAGGAUGGCAGGGAAUGGCCGUCCGAUGACGUUAACCUGGGAAUAAGCCCCGGCUAACUAC
rnacentral:rRNA from 1 species